AUCAAGAUGGCCGAGUGGUUAAGGCGCCAGACUUAAGAUUCUAAUUCAAAUAAUAGAUUAAUAGGUAAUCUUGUGAAAUCCGUUACUUGGCAUUCUGGUCUUCGAAGAAAGCGUGGGUUCGUGCCCCACUCUUGACA
rfam:Daphnia pulex DAPPTscaffold_246_Cont7770, whole genome shotgun sequence.